UAUUUAGCCGUCGCUUCUUCUGUAGGUACCGUCAUUUUUUCUUCCCUACUAAAAGCACUUUACGAUCCGAAGACCUUCAUCGUGCACACAGAAUUGCUGGAUCAGGCUUGUGGCCCAUUGUCCAAUAUUCCCA
rnacentral:rRNA from 1 species